rnacentral:rRNA from 1 species
UCCAACCCCUGUGACAUACCACUUGUUGCCUCGGCGGAUCAGCCCGCUCCCGGUAAAACGGGACGGCCCGCCAGAGGACCCCUAAACUCUGUUUCUAUAUGUAACUUCUGAGUAAAACCAUAAAUAAAUCAAAACUUUCAACAACGGAUCUCUUGGUUCUGGCAUCGAUGAAGAACGCAGCAAAAUGCGAUAAGUAAUGUGAAUUGCAGAAUUCAGUGAAUCAUCGAAUCUUUGAACGCACAUUGCGCCCGCCAGUAUUCUGGCGGGCAUGCCUGUUCGAGCGUCAUUUCAACCCUCAAGCACAGCUUGGUGUUGGGACUCGCGUUAAUUCGCGUUCCCCAAAUUGAUUGGCGGUCACGUCGAGCUUCCAUAGCGUAGUAGUAAAACCCUCGUUACUGGUAAUCGUCGCGGCCACGCCGUUAAACCCCAACUUCUGAAUGUUGACCUCGGAUCAGGUAGGAAUACCCGCUGAACUUAAGCAUAUCAAUAAGCGGAGGA